GAUGAACGCUGGCGGCGUGCUUAAUACAUGCAAGUCGAACGGAAAGGCCCUGCUCUUGCGGGGUGCUCGAUUGGCGAACGGGGGAGUGUCACGCGUGUAUCCCGUCCCUGUCUUUGGGAUAACUCCACGAAACUGGGGCUAAUACCGGAUAGGAUCUCUUGCAGCACGGUGGGGGUUGGAAAGUUUCGGCGGCUGGGGAUCGACUGGCUGCUUAUCAGCUGGUUGGUCAGGUAGGUGCUUACCAAGGCUUUGACGGAUAGCCGGCCUGGGAGGGUGAACGGCCACAUUGCGACUGAGGUACGGCCCAGACUCCUACGGGAGGCAGCGGUGGGGAGUAUUGCGGAGUGGGCGGAAGCCUGAUGCGACAACGCCGCGUGCGGGAUGCCGGCCUACGGGUUGUAAACCGCUUUCGCCUGUGACGAGGCGUGAGUGACGGUACUGGGUAAGAAAGCACCGGCUAACUACGUG
rnacentral:rRNA from 1 species